rnacentral:tRNA from 1 species
GCCUGGGUGGCUCAGUCGGUUAAGUGUCUGACUUCAGCUCAGGUCAUGACCUCAACGUUUGUGAGUUCGAGCCCCGCAUCAGGCU